rnacentral:rRNA from 1 species
CCUACGGGUGGCAGCAGUGGGGAAUAUUGCACAAUGGUGGAAACCCUGAUGCAGCGACGCCGCGUGAGUGAAGACGUAAUUCGUUAUGUAAAGCUCUAUCAGCAGGGAAGAAAAUGACGGUACCUGAGUAAGAAGCCCCGGCUAACUACGUGCCAGCAGCCGCGGUAGUACGUAGGGGGCAGGCGUUAUCCGGAUUUACUGGGUGUAAAGGGAGCGUAGACGGCAGUGCAAGACUGUAGUGAAAGGCGGGGGCUCAACCCCCGGACUGCUCUGGAAACUGUCUGGCUGGAGUGCGGGGGAGGGAAGUGGAAUUCCUAGUGUAGCGGUGAAAUGCGUAGAUAUUAGGAGGAACACCAGUGGCGAAGGCGGCUUACUGGACUGUAACUGACGUUGAGGCUCGAAGGCGCGGGGAGCAAACAGGAUUAGAUACCCCUGUAGUC